rnacentral:rRNA from 1 species
UACGUAGGGUGCAAGCGUUGUCCGGAAUUACUGGGGCGUAAAGAGCUCGUAGGCGGUCUGUCGCGUCUGCUGUGAAAACCUAGGGCCUAACCCUGGGCUUGCAGUGGAUACGGGCAGACUAGAGGUAGGUAGGGGAGAAUGGAAUUCCUGGUGUAGCGGCGAAAUGCGCAGAUAUCAGGAGGAACACCGGUGGCGAAGGCGGUUCUCUGGGCCUUACCUGACACUGAGGAGCGAAAGCGUGGGGAGCGAACAGG